AGCUCCAAUAGCGUAUAUUAAAGUUGUUGCGGUUAAAAAGCUCGUAGUUGGAUCUCGGCAGCCAGGGGGCGGUUCGCUCCAAAGCGUGACUGCCCCAUUUGGCUGUGUGAUUGGCGGAGGUUCCGGGGUGCUCUUCGUUGAGUGUCCCGGUGCGCCGUCAGGUUUACUUUGAAAAAAUUAGAGUGCUCAAAGCAGGCUUUUCAGGCUUGAAUAUUCGUGCAUGGAAUAAUGGAAUAGGAACUCGGUGGAAAAGAGAGGGUGUUCGGGAAUCGAGUUAAUGAUUAAUAGGGACAGUUGGGGGCAUUAGUAUUCAAACGACAGAGGUGAAAUUCUUGGACCGUUUGAAGACUAGCUACUGCGAAAGCGUUUGCCAAGAGUGUUUUCA
rnacentral:rRNA from 1 species